UCGCCGCUGUCGCCGCUGUCGCCGCUGUCCUGUGCGGCCGAGACUGCUGCUGCUGCAGGCCGGGAAACCCAAACCUGCUCCAUCAGGCUGCCAGGUCCAAGCGGCAGAGCUGGAUGUGCCAGUGCAGGCUCCGGGCGUGGAAAGGAAAGAUGCUGGCGAGAGGAAGGUGAACUUGAGGAGCUACAGGUCAUGUAUGUGAGUGGCAAGAGCCCUCUCCUGUCAAGGCGCUGAAAACUUCCAUGGUUUCCAGUGAGUUUGGAUUGAACCAAGCUUGAACCUGCUGCUUCCUGCAGCAUGAACUGCUGUGCUGGUUUUCCAUCUGUCUCAGUAGGGAUUUAACUCUUCCCACCAGCACAUUCUCCGAAUCAUUACUUUUUCCCUCUAUGUACAUUUACACAUAACAAUGAGAACUCAUUUAUACUGAA